UCGCUCAUCUUUCUCUCUCACUCUGUGUGAGGAGCUGCUGCUGCUGGCCCCUAGUGGAUGUACUCUAAAAAGAAAGAUAGUGUUGCAGCUUAAAGAUAGUGUAUCCGUUUUCUACAGGAAGUAUGUGUGCUUGCAAAUUUGGCCGUGAAUCGUUUUCUAUAGGAAAUUACAUGAAGUAUGAUGGGUUAGCUGUCAUUCCUCGGUUUGAACAGUUGAAAAAAUUAAUUGUUGAAUUUUGAAUUGAACCAUUGAAAAAUUGGCCAUGAACCUGUGACUUUUUGAUUGAACUGAUGAACUGAUGAAUCAUGCCAUUUAGUCGCACUGAAACUAAUCUUGUGUCAACUUUUGACUUGGCAGCAUGGGGUUAGGCCGGAAUCCACCCCAUGACGGGUCAACGUCAGGGUCCACUGGGUUCCGUUCCUGAGAGAAGCAUCACCGGCUGGGAGAGUUCAAUGAUCUGAACUAGGAAAGUUCAGCAUGGAAAUUUGCUACAGAUUACAUUACUUGAUAUUUUUUUCGUGUGUUUUUCGUGUGAUUCACGUCAUCGUUGGCCCCAUGUUCGCUGGCAUGACCACCGCGCUUCUCCGCCGACACCGGCAGGAAAAUUGGGCUGGGAGUCGACAAGCCGGGCAAAAUGUGUUGCUACUUCUACAAUAUCAAAGAUGAUGAGAUUCUGGUCUUGCUCGUCGAGCACCCAGUCACAGGGCAGUCUGUCAGCUGCUGCAAUGCAUUACGAAAAGUUCAAGUUUCCUAUUAGAUUUAGUUCUAUUGGGAAAGGGCCGCCCUCACCGCGCUUAUCCCCGUCGCCGGAGGGCCGGCGUGCAGCGGUUGGGCCACAGCCGACACUUCCGGUCGUGCCCUACCACUGCUCAAUCUUCUCGCCUAACCCCCUUCCUCCCGAUCUGCUACUGAUGUACCCCAACUACCACUGGAGCUUCGGCGAGCACUCCUCCGUCCAAGUUGAGCAUUGGGCGCCGUCCGAGUAGAGCACUGCACCCCGUCCAAGUCCCCAUCUAAUGUUGAACGUUCAAUUUUGUCAUGUUGAAUAAUAUAGCGCUGAGCACCGUACAAUUUUUUUUUGCUUGAGCGCUGAGCAAACAGUGGAGCUUGCUGGAGGAGUCACGGGGUCGAGGACCUCCUGCUCAACAGUACAACUUCUUGUUUUGUGGCCGGUUGCUCAAGGAGCUGAGUGCAGGCUGCAGUAAGUACAUGAUACUACUAUUAGGAUAUGUAUGUGGUCCCAGUAAGUACAUGAGUAUUAAUUAGCAAGUUUGGUUGCUUCUGAAAACUGAAAAAUGUCAGCUUGUACUGAUGCAUUCCAAAAAUGUGUUGUGUGUUUUCAAGAAAAAACAUUUGUCAGGUUUUUGGUGGCCAAGUAUUAUUGAUAUGGAGAUGAAUAACUAUGCGGAUGCGCUCCUAUUGUUUUUCUGGAAAAAAAAAAGAUGCCAUCUUUACACAUCCAUAUUUAAUUUUGGAAGGUUCACACAUAUUAGAGAGAUUCAUCGGACAUAAUUUUGUAAGAUCAGAAAAAGCAAUUGCUCAGUACAUCACAGCAGCUCUUCGAUGCAAAAAGGAUGGCUCUUCUCAAGUCAGCAGCUAACCAAACUGGCAACUUCAGGGUAGCUCAGUCAAAUACGGCAGCUGUGUAGUAAACAGUUUCAGUUGAGAAAUCAGCAAUAAUCAGCAAGCGACAUGCUCAAUCCAACCCCGUGCUUUCAGGGUGGCCGAGUUCAUCGCGACCAUCAGUUCGGAGACCUGCGUCACUGCGCGUGUCGCUACCAUGGCCCCCUGUGUUACUGCGUGCUCUGUCAACAGCCUCCUGCACAAGGAAAAGCAACAGGAGUAGAGGCGUCUGAGAUGCUCUGUUCUAGCGAGGUGGCUGAUUAUGUUUGUCAGUUUGUAAUACUUUGGCCGCAGUGUACUUAUGUAUGUUUUUCUGGCCGGAGCACGACCAGAGCUUAUGUCAGUAUGAACUUUGAUUGUGAUGGUACUACAAACUCUAUAAAAGCACCAACAAUCCUUUUUACUGGUA